UUUGUUGAUUUGUUUGAUUGGUUUACAUGUAUUGGGGGGUGUUUUUGUUUAGAAAGUUUUAUUCUUGCUUUAUUUUAGUCUUAUAGGAUGUGGUGUAUACAGGUUUAUUUAUUAAAUAUUGGGUUUUUUGUAGUAUUUGUUAUUGAAGAUCAAGUAAUUUUGGAUUCAGCGAUUUUUUUUUAGAAGGGGUUAAUGUCGUGCCAGCAACUGCGGUUAUACGUCGUCUUCAUGUCUAUAUUUUUUGGAUGCAUUUGUUGGUGUAGUAAUGGGAGUUGAAAUGUUGGUGGAAUAUUAUUUGGUCUGUUGCUUUAUUUAUUUUUGUUAGGGCUAUUUAUUAGACUAGGAUUAGAUACCCUAUUAUUUUAGAAGUAAUUAUUUUUGUCCAGGUUAGUAUAAGUUAGUUUGGGAAUCUAAAGAAUUUGGCGGCAUUCCAUCCUAUUAGAGGAACCUGUGCUGUAAAUGAUGUUACACGAUUUGCAUGGCUGUGUUUGUUGGUUUGUAUACUUCCGUUAUUAGAAUAUUUAUUGAUAAUAUUUUCGUGUUUUUUAAUAAAAAUUAAUUUCAGGUCAAGGUGCAGCUUAUGAUGCAGUAGUUAUGGGUUACAAUUUAAUUAUUUAUACGGAUAUAUUUUUAAAUUUUAUAUUGAAGGUGGAUUUAUUAGUAAGUUUUAAUAAUUAUUAAUUCUGAAUUGGUUAUGAUUUGUGUACAUAUCGCCCGUCGCUCCCGUUAUUGGGAUAAGUCGUAACAAAGUAGGUUUACUGGAAGGUGAGUCUGGUUU
rnacentral:rRNA from 1 species